CUUCAUUUUUUGUGUGUAUUCUCUGUUACUCUAUCUUGCAGGGCAGGAGCACAUUGGCUCAUAAUCGUGCUUACCUAUUUAAGAUUUACACUUAUUGCUUUUACAGCUAUACACACAAUAUGAGUCUGAAGAAAAGAAAGUUCUCCCUGGAUAGCUCUCUCUCUCUGGAGGGAGCAUGUCUCACCAGAGGACGCAGGGGCAGCGGGAAGAAGAGUAUGGAUGAAGCUCAGCAGCACAUUCAGGAGCUGAACCACAGCCUCCCAGCCAACGUCUUCCCCAGGGAACCAGCUAUAGCAGAGGAGAGCACUGAGGGACACGAUAUCAACAGUAAUAUCAUUGCAAACCACAACAAGAGCUUCCACAAACUGUUCCCGGAAAUUCCUGACGGGAAGAGCCUGACACACGGUGAGUUCGGGCAGGGUCGCCCACUCUCUCCUUAGUUAUUCGCUGAUAUUGAUUCACAUCACAUUGUGUCCUUCUCGCUGUUUGUCCUUAAUGCCUUUGCCGACUGAUUAAGUGCUACAAGCUGCUCUGUAUGUUGCCUGGCCUGCCAAACGACAUGCCUUUUCAUAGAUAUUUCAAAGACAUAUAGUCUGGGAGCGAGCGUGAUCUCAACAAUUUCCCGGUGGGCGUGAUUGACACACGGCAUCAACCAAUUAGAGCAACGCUAGAUACGUUGCAGUAACAAGCGGCAGAAAGCCUUUCCAAAAACGUCCUUUUUUACGAGGAACGCUUCGAACGCUGUUUCUUGCUCCGGUUUUAGGGAUUUCAUAUUUUCCAAAUGAUUUAAAACAGACGAAAGAGCCGAAGAAAACAGUGUAUCGGCCGCCAUCUUUAAUGUUUUGGAAGAGUGCGUGGUGGUGACAGGUGACGGCUUCCGUCUCUUGGUGCGUGAUUGGACCGAUGUGGGUCAAAUCGUGAAAUGAUUGGCUGCGAGCAGCCGCCCAGACGGUUCUUCUUUUGAACAGAAAGGAGGAGUGUCUGGCAGGCCAGGCAACUCUGUAUGCAUGGGCGUCGGCAGGGGCGUAGCACCAAAUCCUGGGCCCUGGGUACAAACUAUCUUGGUGGAUCUCCCCCAGUUAAUUCACAUUUAAUAUUUUAUGUUUUUUAACCACAUAACAGUGGUUUAGUUUGA
rnacentral:lncRNA from 1 species